GGGGUUGUGGCUCAGAGGUAGAGUGCUUGCCUAGCAUGCAUGAGGCACUGGGUUUGAUCCUCAGCACCA
rfam:Ictidomys tridecemlineatus contig085656, whole genome shotgun sequence.